rnacentral:misc_RNA from 1 species
AACGCACCUUGCGCUCCUUGGUAUUCCGAGGAGCAUGCCUGUUUGAGUGUCAUUAAAUUCUCAACCCUUUCGGCUUUUGCGAGCUGGAUUGGCUUGGAUAUGGGGGUUUGCGGGCUUCUCAGAAGUCGGCUCCUCUUAAAUGCAUUAGCGGAACCUUUGUGGACCAGCUUUGGUGUGAUAAUUAUCUACGCCAUGGUUGUGAAGCAGUUUUACAUGGGGUUCAGCUUCUAACCGUCCAUUGACUUGGACAAAUUCUGACAUUUUGACCUCAAAUCAGGUAGGACUACCCGCUGAACUUAA